rnacentral:rRNA from 1 species
GAUGAACGCUGGCGGCGUGCUUAACACAUGCAAGUCGAACGGAAAGGCCUCAGCUUGCUGGGGUGCUCGAGUGGCGAACGGGUGAGUAACACGUAGGUGAUCUGCCUUUCACUUCGGGAUAAGCUUGGGAAACUGGGUCUAAUACCGGAUAUUCACGGCACCGUGGUUGGUGUGGUGGAAAGCUUUUGCGGUGGGAGAUGAGCUUGCGGCCUAUCAGCUUGUUGGUGGGGUAAUGGCCUACCAAGGCGGCGACGGGUAGCCGGCCUGAGAGGGUGUGCGGCCACAUUGGGACUGAGAUACGGCCCAGACUCCUACGGGAGGCAGCAGUGGGGAAUUUUGCACAAUGGGCGGAAGCCUGAUGCAGCGACGCCGUGUGGGGGAUGAAGGCCUUCGGGUUGUAAACUCCUUUCGUCAGGGACGAAGUUUGUUUGACGGUACCUGGAUAAGAAGCACCGGCUAACUACGU